GACGUAGGGCGCGAGCGUUGUCCGGAUUUAUUGGGCGUAAAGAGCUCGUAGGCGGCUUGUCGCGUCGGCUGUGAAAACCCGCGGCUCAACUGUGGGCGGGCAGCUGAUACGGGCAGGCUGGAGUUCGGUAGGGGAGACUGGAAUUCCUGGUUGUAGCGGUGAAAUGCGCAGAUAUCAGGAGGAACACCGGUGGCGAAGGCGGGGUCUCUGGGCCGAUACUGACGCUGAGGAGCGAAAGCGUGGGGAGCGAACAGGAUUAGA
rnacentral:rRNA from 1 species